ACGCUGGCGGCGUGCCUAAUACAUGCAAGUAGAACGCUGAAGGAGGAGCUUGCUUCUCUGGAUGAGUUGCGAACGGGUGAGUAACGCGUAGGUAACCUGCCUGGUAGCGGGGGAUAACUAUUGGAAACGAUAGCUAAUACCGCAUAAUAUUGAUUAUUGCAUGAUAGUCAAUUAAAAGGUGCAAUUGCAUCACUACCAGAUGGACCUGCGUUGUAUUAGCUAGUUGGUGAGGUAACGGCUCACCAAGGCAACGAUACAUAGCCGACCUGAGAGGGUGAUCGGCCACACUGGGACUGAGACACGGCCCAGACUCCUACUGGAGGCAGCAGUAGGGAAUCUUCGGCAAUGGACGGAAGUCUGACCGAGCAACGCCGCGUGAGUGAAGAAGGUUUUCGGAUCGUAAAGCUCUGUUGUAAGAGAAGAACGAGUGUGAGAGUGGAAAGUUCACACUGUGACGGUAUCUUACCAGAAAGGGACGGCUAACUACGUGCCAGCAGCCGCGGUAAUACGUAGGUCCCGAGCGUUGUCCGGAUUUAUUGGGCGUAAAGCGAGCGCAGGCGGUUAGAUAAGUCUGAAGUUAAAGGCUGUGGCUUAACCAUAGUACGCUUUGGAAACUGUUUAACUUGAGUGCAAGAGGGGAGAGUGGAAUUCCAUGUGUAGCGGUGAAAUGCGUAGAUAUAUGGAGGAACAC
rnacentral:rRNA from 1 species